AUCAUUUCUCAGCCUUUUGGCUAAGAUCAAGUGUAGUAAACAAAGUAAGAUUGAACAGGAACUUAACUUCUCAUUUGUUUAUUUACUUAUUUGCUGGACGAAGGGCCUGAACUCUGGGCCUGGGCGCUGUCCCUCAGCUCUUCAGCUCAAGGCUAGUGCUCUACCACUUGAACCACAGUGCCACU
rnacentral:snRNA from 1 species